AUUGAACGCUGGCGGCAGGCCUAACACAUGCAAGUCGAGCGGAAACGAGUUAACUGACCCUUCGGGUGACGUUAACGGCGUCGAGCGGCGGACGGGUGAGUAAUGCCUGGGAAAUUGCCCUGAUGUGGGGGAUAACCAUUGGAAACGAUGGCUAAUACCGCAUAAUGCCUUCGGGCCAAAGAGGGGGACCUUCGGGCCUCUCGCGUCAGGAUAUGCCCAGGUGGGAUUAGCUAGUUGGUGAGGUAAUGGCUCACCAAGGCGACGAUCCCUAGCUGGUCUGAGAGGAUGAUCAGCCACACUGGAACUGAGACACGGUCCAGACUCCUACGGGAGGCAGCAGUGGGGAAUAUUGCACAAUGGGCGCAAGCCUGAUGCAGCCAUGCCGCGUGUGUGGAGAAGGCCUUCGGGUUGUAAAGCACUUUCAGCAGUGAGGAAGGCGGGUACGUUAAUAGCGUGCUCGUUUGACGUUAGCUGCAGAAGAAGCACCGGCUAACUCCGUGCCAGCAGCCGCGGUAAUACGGAGGGUGCGAGCGUUAAUCGGAAUUACUGGGCGUAAAGCGCAUGCAGGUGGUUCGUUAAGUCAGAUGUGAAAGCCCGGGGCUCAACCUCGGAACUGCAUUUGAAACUGG
rnacentral:rRNA from 1 species